UGUGAAGUGCAGUAAUGAAUUGAGCUGACCAAUACUUAUCGGUCGUGGGCUUAUCCUA
rnacentral:rRNA from 1 species